UUCAUUUAAUGAAGAUGGGAACUUGUGGACCAUUCUUUAUACUUCAGAAAUGCUGCAUCUCUCAUGGACAUAAGGCAUUUGUGACCAGCCAGGUUCUGGCCUCUGAGGGAAGGAUCACAUGCUGAGUGCCUCAGCUUCCUGAAGAAAGUGUGGGAGGGGCAGGAAAAAGAGUUGAAUUCAAAGCAGCUGAACUUCCAACUGGGAGAUCUGCUAUGGAGGGGAUGAGGAAAAACCUGGUCAGUGGUGGACUCUCGGUGUGCUCCAAGCUCAUAUACCAGCAAGCCAGACACUCAGCUUGGAAGAAACUACCAGAGGACUCAACCCAAGGUCAGCCCACCACAGGCUUGUCCCAGUCCCAGGCUUGUGCCACUACCCAACCACCCUGCCCAGUGCAUGUACAAGAUGUGCUAAGAAGGAAGCAGAUAUGGGGCAAGAAAUGUUUUUUCUGGGGCAGUUAUAUCAGGUCACCUUUAAAAGCUGAGAGCCAUGGCUUUUCACCAGAUUCAGAGCAGCAUCCUUGCACAAAGCUUUGA
rnacentral:lncRNA from 13 species